rnacentral:rRNA from 1 species
UACGGGGGGAGCAAGCGUUGUUCGGAUUUACUGGGCGUAAAGGGCGCGUAGGCGGCCAGCACAAGUCAGUUGUGAAAUCUCCGAGCUUAACUCGGAAAGGUCAACUGAUACUGUGCGGCUAGAGUACGGAAGAGGCGAGUGGAAUUCCUGGUGUAGCGGUGAAAUGCGCAGAUAUCAGGAGGAACACCGAUUGCGAAGGCAGCUCGCUGGGACGUCACUGACGCUGAGACGCGAAAGCGUGGGGAGCAAACAGG